UACGGAGGGUGCAAGCGUUAUCCGGAUUUACUGGGUUUAAAGGGUGUGUAGGCGGACUUUUAAGUCAGCGGUGAAAUCUCCGGGCUCAACCCGGAAACUGCCAUUGAUACUAUUUGUCUUGAAUGUUGUUGAGGUGGGCGGAAUGGGUCAUGUAGCGGUGAAAUGCAUAGAUAUGACCCGGAACACCUAUUGCGAAGGCAGCAGGCUAAACAAAGAUUGACGCUGAGGCUCGAAAGCGUGGGGAUCAAACAGG
rnacentral:rRNA from 1 species